rnacentral:tRNA from 1 species
GGAGAGGUGGCCGAGCGGUUUAAGGCACCGGUCUUGAAAACCGGCGUGCGUGGAAGCGCACCGUGGGUUCGAAUCCCACCCUCUCCGCCA